UGCAGUCGAACGGUAACAUUUCUAGCUUGCUAGAAGAUGACGAGUGGCGGACGGGUGAGUAAUGCUUGGGAACUUGCCUUUGCGAGGGGGAUAACAGUUGGAAACGACUGCUAAUACCGCAUAAUGUCUUCGGACCAAACGGGGCUUAGGCUCCGGCGCAAAGAGAGGCCCAAGUGAGAUUAGCUAGUUGGUAAGGUAAAGGCUUACCAAGGCGACGAUCUCUAGCUGUUCUGAGAGGAAGAUCAGCCACACUGGGACUGAGACACGGCCCAGACUCCUACGGGAGGCAGCAGUGGGGAAUAUUGCACAAUGGGGGAAACCCUGAUGCAGCCAUGCCGCGUGUGUGAAGAAGGCCUUCGGGUUGUAAAGCACUUUCAGUUGUGAGGAAAAGUUAGUAGUUAAUACCUGCUAGCCAUGACGUUAACAACAGAAGAAGCACCGGCUAACUCCGUGCCAGCAGCCGCGGUAAUACGGAGGGUGCGAGCGUUAAUCGGAAUUACUGGGCGUAAAGCGCACGCAGGCGGUUUGUUAAGCUAGAUGUGAAAGCCCCGGGCUCAACCUGGGAUGGACAUUUAGAACUGGCAGACUAGAGUCUUGGAGAGGGGAGUGGAAUUCCAGGUGUAGCGGUGAAAUGCGUAGAUAUCUGGAGGAACAUCAGUGGCGAAGGCGACUCCCUGGCCAAAGACUGACGCUCAUGUGCGAAAGUGUGGGUAGCGAACAGGAUUAGAUACCCUGGUAGUCCACACCGUAAACGCUGUCUACUAGCUGUUUGUGACUUUAAGUCGUGAGUA
rnacentral:rRNA from 1 species